rnacentral:rRNA from 1 species
UAGGGAAUCUUGCGCAAUGGGCGAAAGCCUGACGCAGCCAUGCCGCGUGAAUGAUGAAGGUCUUAGGAUUGUAAAAUUCUUUCACCGGGGAAGAUAAUGACGGUACCCGGAGAAGAAGCCCCGGCUAACUUCGUGCCAGCAGCCGCGGUAAUACGAAGGGGGCUAGCGUUGCUCGGAAUUACUGGGCGUAAAGGGCGCGUAGGCGGAUAUUUAAGUUGGGGGUGAAAGCCCGGGGCUCAACCUCGGAAUAGCCUUCAAUACUGGAUAUCUUGAGUUCGGGAGAGGUGAGUGGAAUGCCGAGUGUAGAGGUGAAAUUCGUAGAUAUUCGGCGGAACACCAGUGGCGAAGGCGACUCACUGGCCCGAUACUGACGCUGAGGCGCGAAAGCGUGGGGAGCAAACAGGAUUAGAUACCCUGGUAGUCCACGCCGUAAAACGAUGAGUGCUAGUUGUCGGCAUGCAUGCAUGUCGGUGACGCAGCUAACGCAUUAAGCACUCCGCCUGGGGAGUACGGUCGCAAGAUUAAAAACUCAAAUGAAUUGACGGGGUCA